rnacentral:lncRNA from 1 species
GCAAUUUGAAUACAUUUUGAGGCAUUUUUUAAAGAUAUAACUUUCAUAAAUGUUCAUCAAUUGUGCCUAUCACCAGGUUAAUAUAUUAGGUAUACACCUAAUUCAUAAUAUGUUUAGGCCAAUGAAGGAUGGAUACGGAAUAGUUAUGAAGUAUCAAAUAAUUGUAAAGAAUGAUUUCAUAAUCAUUUUGUAGUGAAUUCAGGAAGUAGGCCCGUCCGGGACUCAAACCAGGGUCCGGUAACUGUCAAGCCAAGACUUUAAUGGUAACGCCAAGAGGUCUGGGUUAAGGUUACUAUAUUACCACCUUCCUUCAGGAGAGUGUCCCCACACUUCUCUAUACCAAGUCUCUCUCAUGUGUACACGCCUCUCCGAUGGCCUCACGGGUACCAUCCCAAUUCACUAGGUGUGGGUUAAGGUCUCCUACAAUAUCGAUUUUCAAGUAUGUUUUCAUAUUUCAUACACACACAGCCUAAAGCACAUGGUAUCUAAUGUUACAAAUAUAUCCAGCCAGGGUCAAUUACUUAUUUUGUAAUUUGUUUGAAUAGCUUUUUGUGUGUUUGUUUUCUUGACAUGAAGGACUUGUGGUGGUUUGAUAUGAAGAACAUGAAGGACUUGAGGUGGUUUGAUAUGAAGAACAUGAAGGACUUGAGGUUGUUUGAUAUGAAGCACUUGAGGUGGUUUGAUAUGAAGGACUUGAGGUGGUUUGAUAUGAAGGACAAUAGGUGGUUUGAUAUGAAGGACAAUAGGUGGUUUGAUAUGAAGGACAUGAGGUGGUUUGAUAUGAAGGACAAGAGGUGGUUUGAUAUGAAGUACAUGAGGUGGUUUGAUAUGAAGGACAAGAGGUGGUUUGAUAUGAAGGACAAGAGGUGGUUUGAUAUGAAGGACAUGAGGUGGUUUGAUAUGAAGGACAAGAGGUGGUUUGAUAUGAAGGACUCACAUACAACCAAACUUUAUUUAGAUCAUGCUGGAUUAAUCUGAUUCUGUUCAUACUGUACUAGGCUACCUAAGGUCUAGUAUGCACUAAUGCAGUGGUUCCCAACCAUUCUUUUGUUACUGUACCACCAACUGAAUUUUGCUCUGCCUGGAGUACCCCUGAAGUACCCCCUCGUGUAUUUUACCAGUAGGGCUAUGGGCUCAUGAGUCUUCUCAAGUACCCCUGUGGAUAGACCAGGUACCCCCAGGGGUCCUAGUACCACUGGUUGGGAACCACUGCAGUAAUGAACUCUUAAAGUGGAUGUGAAUGAAGGAUAUGCCAGCAUGUACAUUAGCUAGUGUUGAGAUUUUAAGAUACUAUUUUAAAUGUAAAAAGAAAAAAAAAAAACAUCUGCAUUUUGUACUGCAAUGUACGUACUCGCACGCACACUCACUCAGGAAUUACAUACGACGUUAAUACACCUUUGUUACAUAUUUAUUGUGGAUAAUAUAUUUACUAUUUAGUCACGAUCUCAACAUCUCUGUUUUGAAUGGACAAUGCCUACUGGCAUCAUUGUUUACAGUCUGCUAAAAGUUUACUUCAGAGAUGUAUAUGAAGAAAAAACAUCUACAAUAUUGUAAAUAAAUGUGUAAAUAUGUAAUUUGGUUUACUUUGUGUUUUAUUUUCACUUAACAAUAACAGAUAUGGUGAAGAAAGCUAAAUACAUCUAAAAUGUUAAAUACAUCUUAAAUAAAAUAAAAUGUUAUUGGUCAC